rnacentral:tRNA from 1 species
UGGGGUAUAGCUCAGUGGUAGAGCACAUGCUUAGCAUGCACAAGGUCCUGGGUUCAAUCCCCAGUCCCUCCA